rnacentral:rRNA from 1 species
GACGAACGCUGGCGGCGUGCUUAACACAUGCAAGUCGAGCGGUAAGGCCCUUUCGGGGGUACACGAGCGGCGAACGGUGAGUAACACGUGGGUGACCUGCCCUCAGCUCUGGGAUAAGCCUGGGAAACCGGGUCUAAUACUGGAUAUGACUCCAUGACGCAUGUUGUGGGGUGGAAAGCCUUGUGCGGCUGAGGAUGGGCCCGCGGCCUAUCAGCUUGUUGGUGGGGUGANGGCCUACCAAGGCGACGACGGGUAGCCGGCCUGAGAGGGCGACCGGCCACACUGGGACUGAGACACGGCCCAGACUCCUACGGGAGGCAGCAGUGGGGAAUCUUGCGCAAUGGGCGAAAGCCUGACGCAGCGACGCCGCGUGAGGGAUGACGGCCU